CGCCCCCUGACGGUGUUUAUAUAGGGGGUUGGGCCUGCCCGGUGAUUUAUUUAAACGGUUGCUGUAAAUGGUGCAAAGGUAGCUUAAUCUCUUGGCCCUUAAUUGGGGUCUUGUGAAUGGUCUGACGAAGGUCCAACUGUGUCACUAUUAAUAUAUGAAAUUUACAACUGGGUGAAAAGGCCUAGAUUUUAGGGUCGGACGAGAAGACCCCGUAGAGCUUUAUUUUUUGGAGAAAUAGUUUUAUCUUGAGAAGAUUUUGUUGGGGCAACACAGAAACAUUCUAAUCUUUCUGAUAAAUAAGUUAGAUUUAUGGAUUUUAGACCCGUAAUUAACGAUAAUUAGAAGUAGUUACCUCGGGGAUAACAGCGUGGUCUUACUUGAGAGGCCUAAUCGAAAGUAAGGUUCGCGACCUCGAUGUUGGACUAGGGCAUCCCCAAGGUGCAGGAGCUUUGGAUGGUAGGUCUGUUCGACCUUUUAGGCCCUACA
rnacentral:rRNA from 1 species